UCUGCCUUUCUCUCUCUCUGUCCCUCUGCCUGUUUAUCUUUCUCUCUGUCUCACUCUGUCUGUCUGUCUCUUGUGAAACUCAAAGCAAAUCAACAAUAAUCCUCCUUGGCCUUGGGUCCUAUGUGAUUCUUCUUUGUAAUUGCUCCUAACUUUUCUAUCUAGGUGAUAUCGCCAGCUGCAAUGAUAACCUGACAGUCAGGAAGGACCAAUGUUUAGGGAGGUUUCUGGUUUGGGUGUGUUCGCCUCUGGGCAUCUGCCAGAACGCAAUGAUGGCAAGACACAGUGAACGGUUGGCUUGUAGUUUACUGAAGGAACAGACUGAUGGUGAGCCAGCAGCAGAUGUUGGGGCAGCAGUUGACAGGCCUGGGACUCGGCCUUCUCACCCAGGCCCCCGACAUACUCAUAGUGGCCUUCCCUGCACAGGACGACAGAAUGGCAGGUAUGUGAACAGUUACGUUAGGAGCUGGUUCUUUUCUUUCCAUAAUUCUUCUAAUAACUAAAAAUAGAAACAGUGUUCCGUCCCCCAUCCUUUUCCUAAUGCUGAACAUGGUUUCAAUACAUUUUUAACAUAAUUCACAACUGGUUUUAAAUAAAAGAAAAAAUGUUAAUGUGAUGUAGUUAAAAUGUGAAGGUUGACUCUCAUUAACAGCUCUCUCUCUCCCCCUGUGACAGUAGCGGUGAGCAGCAGGGUGCCUAUGUCGAACACUACAACCUCGCCCAUACCCACAGCACAGACGUCCAUUAACACAGAGUAAUCUAACUAUCUGUCCUCAGGUUUCACUCCUCUAAUCCUGGCUGCUACAGUGGGUCAUGUUGAGGUGGAGAUCCUGCUGGAUAAAGGAGGGGACAUCAAUGCCCAGUCUGUGCGAACCAAACGCACAACAUUGUUUAUCUGGACAAUAUUGCAAAACAUGUUGAUGCUCUCAGUAUGUUGAAUGUCUUACAUGUGCUGACUCGUACUGCUUUUUUAUUUCUUUGCAUGGGUGAGCUGGAUGGAUGCCACAUACCACUAGCUGAACUGGAAGAGCUGGCUGCAGCUAUGGUCCAUGUUGUGUCUACAACCAUCUCCACACUGACAGGAUGAGACACGCUGCUGUGAAGGGUCCUGCCCGACCCAAAUGCUUCAAAUGGCACAAUUACAAGUAUUUAUCAAACUGAAACCACCAGAACACUAUCCCUCACAAGAUAGACUAAAAACAGUGAAUAAAGUGAUUGUUUGAUUGAAACUGUUUUAUCAUAAACUAAUGAUGAAUUACA